rnacentral:misc_RNA from 1 species
GAUGAAGAACGUAGUGAAAUGCGAUACGUAAUGUGAAUUGCAGAUUUCAGUGAAUCAUCGAAUCUUUGAACGCACAUUGCGCCCGCUAGUAUUCUGGCGGGCAUGCCUGUUCGAGCGUCAUUUCAACCAUCAAGCCCCCGGCUUGCGUUGGAGCCCUGCGGCUGCCGCAGGCUCCCAAAUCUAGUGGCGGGCUCGUCGUCGUACCGAGUGCAGUAAACAUCCUCGCUCAGGGAACGCGUCGGGUUCUUGCCGUGAAACCACCCCAUAUCAAGGUUGACCUCGGAUCAGGUAGGAAUACCCGCUGAACUUAAGCAUAUCAAUAAGCGGAGGA